UCUCCUACGGGGGGUAGCAGUGAGGAAUAUUGGUCAAUGGGAGAGAUCCUGAACCAGCCAAGCCGCGUGAGGGAAGACGGCCCUAUGGGUUGUAAACCUCUUUUGUCGGAGAACAAAACCCGGGACGUGUCCCGGACUGCGUGUAUCCGAAGAAAAAGCAUCGGCUAACUCCGUGCCAGCAGCCGCGGUAGUACGUAGGGGGCAAGCGUUAUCCGGAUUUAUUGGGCGUAAAGGGAACGCAGGCGGUCUUUUAAGUCUGAUGUGAAAGCCUUCGGCUUAACCGGAGUAGUGCAUUGGAAACUGGG
rnacentral:rRNA from 1 species